UACAGAGGGGGCAAGCGUUGUUCGGAAUUACUGGGCGUAAAGGGCGCGUAGGCGGCCUUCUAAGUCGAACGUGAAAUCCCCGGGCUCAACCCGGGAACUGCGUCCGAUACUGGAAGGCUUGAAUCCGGGAGAGGGAUGUGGAAUUCCAGGUGUAGCGGUGAAAUGCGUAGAUAUCUGGAGGAACACCGGUGGCGAAGGCGGCAUCCUGGACCAAUAUUGACGCUGAGGAGCGAAAGCCAGGGGAGCAAACGGG
rnacentral:rRNA from 1 species